rnacentral:rRNA from 1 species
GAACAACUUACCGAAAGGUGAGCUAAUGCCGGAUGAGUUAUAUAAGUGCAUGUUUAUAUAGGAAAAGUUGGGGAGACCUGACGCUGAAAGAUGGACUCGCGUCCCAUUAGCUAGUUGGUAGGGUAAUGGCCUACCAAGGCGACGAUGGGUAGCCGGCCUGAGAGGGUGGCCGGCCACACUGGGACUGAGACACGGCCCAGACUCCUACGGGAGGCAGCAGUGGGGAAUUUUGCGCAAUGCUCGUAAGAGUGACGCAGCGACGCCGCGUGAAUGACGAAGGCCUUCGGGUCGUAAAGUUCUUUCGACAGGGAAGAAAAUGCCUAUAAGUAACUGUGUAUGUAUUGACGGUACCUGUAUAAGCAGCCCCGGCUAACUCCGUGCCAGCAGCCGCGGUAAUACGGAGGGGGCGAGCGUUGUUCGGAGUGACUGGGCGUAAAGAGCACGUAGGCGGCGUUGUAAGUCAUUAGUCAAAGACUAGAGCUCAACUUUAGUAAGGCUAGUGAUACUAUAAUACUAGAGUAUCAGAGAGGAUUGCAGAAUUCCUGGUGUAGCGGUGAAAUGCGUAGAUAUCAGGAGGAAUACCGUUAGCGAAGGCGGCAAUCUGGCUGGAAACUGACGCUGGGGUGCGAAAGCGUGGGUAGCAAACAGGAUUAGAUACCCUGGUAGUCCACGCUGUAAACGAUGGAUGCUAGGUGU